ACUGCAUCCCCUAGCGGCGCCCGGGUGGCUGCAGCCGCUGGCCCGAAAAUGCUGCUCGGGCGAGCAGGGGUCAGGCGGGAAAAGAAGACUCCAAAUCCACUCUCUGCUCGCCCCCAGGGCAAUGCUGCCAGGAGAGGGAGUGGGUUCCCCCGCAGGCUAUCCCACCGAUGGGGCUGAGAGCUUAAUUUGGGGUUUUAUUUGAAUUGGAGACAUUGUUCCCUCUUCGCUCCUCUACCCCAUAAAAUUCCCUACAAAUGCAAAAAUUCGAGAUAGAAGAAGCCGUCCCUGAAAUUGCUGUCUAACAUUCACCGGAAACCUCUCCAUAAACAAGGAGAAACGAAUGCACACGCAUUUUUGCUAAGAAGCCCGGGAUUAAGAUUUAAGGAUACAAGCUGAAAGAAAAAAUGAAAAAUGCUUCUCCGCGCGUCAAUCGAGGGGUGGAUGCGCCACGCAGCGUGAGCCCAGCUCACAGCCACGCGUAAGACCAAAAGCUGCCAUGGGUUCUGCGCGCGGAGACCUCAGAGCCGAAGAGAGAAGUCCCCGCGUCAGAAACGCUGCGGAUGCCAGGUCUUGAAAAUGCUGACUUCUGAGGCUAAGAAUUAUUUCAAAGACAAAAAGAAAAGACUGGUGAGGAGGCCUUCCGGUGCAAGGGCGCCUAUCCGCUAAUUUUGGAUGGGGAAGUAGGGAUUAUUCGUUUAAAUUCAAUCGCGAGCACCAAGUCGGACUGGCCGGGGAUGGAGAAGGGCAACCCCCACCUUUAGAAAAAUAAAAGAUCUCGAAGGCCC
rnacentral:lncRNA from 1 species